ACCAGUGACAAUAGCAUGUUGAAUACACCAGUUCCCCACUGAAGUUAAGCAACAUUGCGUGUGGUUAGUGCCCAGAUGGUGAUCAUCUGGGGAAUCAAUAGCUGCUGGGU
rfam:Asian citrus Psyllid, Diaphorina citri - Florida Strain, whole genome shotgun sequence.